rnacentral:lncRNA from 1 species
UGUUAUAGCUAUUGCAGCCGCUGAAGCAGCCAUUGGACUGGCUAUUGUUUCAUCAAUUUACCGUAACAUAAAAUCAACUCGUGUCAACCAAUCAAAUUUGUUGAAUAAUUAGUAUUAAUCAUCUAGAUUCUAAUAUUGAUAAAUCGAUUUUAAUUAGUAUAUUUGCUACGUAAGGUGUGAUCUUAUUUGCAAAACAUAAAAAAUCAAAGU